ACACGACCCCCCCAUCCUGGGGAAAAUAUGAUUUGUCCCCCCCAAUAUAUCACUGUAAACAUAACUAUGUAAUUUCAAUAAUAUUAAUAAUACGCAAUGAAAGCACUUGUACUGAUUAUAGACACUUAAUAGCGCGUUUUUAAAUUUCACAAGAUUGCGACCCCCCCGCCCUUUGCCUCACAAUGGUUUGAUCCACUGCCAGUUCUUUAGCUGGCAAGGUAAUAGAGGGCUCGUAUCUACUGUCCGAAAGGCACUCAAUGUACGUAACUGACGUGAGGUAAUUCAGUCAAUCGCGGCUUAGCAAUGUAUAUAUUUUUUUCAUGUUGCAGGGUUCACACACUAGCUGAAUUUGCAGAGCUAGCGCGCAAACUAAAGCAAACAUUAACUAUCAAGCUAGCUAGUACCUAUUCCAUUUAUGUGGCGUCGUCAAAGAUGGAAUAUUUGCUAUCGUCAGUUUAUUCCAAGAUUAGCAUGCAGCUGUAGUGCUUCAAAGUCCCUGUGAUAAGGUUAGCGAUAAACUGAAGUCCAAACUGAACAAAACUACACUCUCUUAUACCAUUGUCUUAAAUAUAUUUAAUGGUCUCGUUGCAAAAGCUAAAUUGUCGCUAGUGAAUUUUUUAUUUUUUUCACCUUUAACCAGGUAGCAAAGAUUAUAGCAAACACCACAGAAAUGGAAUUGGUGCUCGCUAGCUUUGCAAAUUCAGCUAUUGUUGGAAGCCAGCCAAUAUGAAACAAACUAUGUUAAAAUUUCAAAACGUUGCAGCAUGUGUUGUGUAAAUGUGUGUGUGCAGCUAGACCGUUCAGCCAGCCAGCCAGGUAGAAAAAUGUCAGAAAAAAGUAAAAAGACGGACAUCAGAGUAUUUUUCAGUACACCAAAACGCAAAGUAAGAACUCUAGUAGCCUAAAAUCUCAAAGACCAGUUGAUAAAAUGUUCAUAAGAAAGAAGUGAAAUGCUAAUGGAAAUAUUUCACAAUGAUGUCAUUAGGCAGAGCAGGCAACAGAUGGCACACAGACUGCAGAGCUGGGGACAGAUAUGCAGGGACAGACUGGCAGAGACAGGGAGUCUCAGGAGACAGACUGUGAGUCAGUGAGGGUGGUGAAAGGGAAAGAGCCAAGGAGAGAGACUUGAGGACAGUGUCACAGCCACGGCAGGACCAGGUGUCACCCUUGUUGCCAGCAGCACCAGUAUAGGGGACAGUGGCACAGCAUCGUCCAGUUACCUCAGUGAUGACACAAAACCAUAUCAGCCACACCCACAAUUUAUAGAACCGCAAACUCUUGCAAACGUUUCAAGAGAGAGGAACACUGCACUGAUAAGGAACAUUGCUAUAACUAUUAUUAUUAGUAGUAUUAUAAUGAUUUAAACAAGUUGGGACAACCCUUCAGUUAACUACUGUACCUAACAAUUAUCCAGUAGUAGUGAUUAUGGUCCCUCAAUAUACAUUUAACAUAUUACAACAUAGUCUAUGUGUUACAGCACUACUUUUGGUGUCCCCCUCAGGAAUUGCUCCUGAGAAAAUUUCAUGUAAUUGUCCCCUCCAAGGUUGAUAUCAGAUUUUCGCCCCUGGCUAGACCGCUGUCUAACACGUCAAGACAUCUCUAUUACACCAACUGAUCACUCCUCAAAACUCUAUUAAAUACAGUGCCUUCAGAAAGUAUUCAUACCCCUUGACUUAUUCCACAUUUUGUUGUGUUACAGCAUGAAUACAAAAUGUAUUAAAUAGUUUUUUCUCGCGCAUCUACACACAAUACAAUACCCCAUAAUAAACAUGCUAUUAGAAAUGUUUGCAAAUGUAUUAAUAAUCAAAUACAGAAGUCUUCACACCCCUGAGUAUAUACUUUGUAGAAGCGCCUUUGGCAGCGAUUACAGCUGUGAGUCUUUCUGGGUAAGUCCCUAAGAGCUUUCCACACCUGGAUUGUGCAACAUUUGCCCAUUAUUCUGUUCAAAAUACUCAAAUUGGUUGUUGAUCAUUGCUAGAUAACCAUUUUCAGGUCUUGCCAUAGAUUUUCAAGUAGAUUUAAGUCAAAACUAGCUCGGCCACUCAUUAACAUUCAGUCUUCUUUGGUCUUGUGUUUUAGGUUAUUGUCCUGUUGAAAGAUGAACUCAUCUCCCAGUGUCUGGUGGAAAGCAGACUGAACCAGGUUCUCCCAUAGCUCCAUUCAGUCUCCUUUUUAUCCUGAAAAACUCCCCAGUCCUUAAUGAUUACCAGCAUACCCAUAACAUGAUGCAGUCACCACUAUGCUUGAAAAUCUGGAGAGUGGUACUCAGUAAUGUGUUGUAUUUGCCCCAAACACAACGCUUUGUAUUCAGGACAAAGAGUGAAUUGCUUUUCCUAAUUUCUUGCAGUAUUACUUUAGUGCCUUGUCGCAAACAGGAUGUACAGGCUUAUCUUCUUUUCACUCUGUCAAUUAGGUUAGUAUUGUGGAGUAACUACAAUGUUGAUCCAUCCUCAGUUCUAUCACAGCCAUUAAACUAACUGUUUCAAAGUCCCAAUGGCCUCAUGCUGAAUUCCCUGAGCGGUUUCCUUACUCUCCGGCAACUGAGUAAGGAAGGACGCCUGUAUCUUUGUAGUGACUGGGUGUAUUGAUACACCAUCCAAAGUGUAAUUAAUAUACUUCACCAUGCUCAAAGGGAUAUUCAAUGUCUGUUGUUUUUUAGUUUUUUAUCCAUCUAUCAACAGGUGCCAUUCUUUGCCAGGCAUUGGAAAACCUCCCUGGUCUUUGUCGUUGAAUCUGUGUUUGAAAAUCACUUCACGACUGAGGGACCUUACAGAUAAUUGUAUGUGUGGGUUACAGAGAUGAGGCAGUCAUUAAAAAAUCAUGUUAAACAAUAUUAUUGUACACAGAGCGAGUCAAUGCAACUUAUGACUUGUUAAGUAAAUGUUUUCUCCUGAACUUAUUUAGGCUUGCCAUAACAAAGGGGUUUAUUACUUGAGAUAUUUCAGCUUUUCAUUUUUGUCCGGGGGGAGGCUGCUCUAGCGACUCCUUGUGGCGGGCUGGGCGCCUGCAGGAUGACCUCGGUUGUCAGUUGAACAGUGUUUCCUACAACACAUUGGUGCAGCUGGCUUCCGGGUUAAGAGGGUGGGAGUGAAUACUUUACUGUAGAAUCAUCCACACAGUGUUAAUGUGUGGAGAGUUUGGGGCUCAUUACCCAGCAACCACAUCCACAAGCUGUGUAAGAAUAAAAUCACUAAGGAAAGUAGGUUGGAACAAUUUCAAAUUGAUUAAUUAAAUAACUGUCAACAUAUCCAUUACCUACAAGAACAUGACGUGGUGCUACUUAGUUGCUGAAAGGACUAUGUUACGAUGCAUGGUGCAGCAGAGCAGACAGACAGGCAGUGUGACCAGGUAGGCAGCCAGGCACUAACAUUACUGGGUGCUCCUGUCCCGUUGCUGCCUGGCAGGUACUAACAUUACUGGGUGCUCCUGUCCCGUUGCUGCCUGGCAGGCACUAACAUUACUGGGUGCACCUGUCCCGUUGUUGCCUGGCAGGCACUAACAUUACUGGGUGCUACUCCCGUCCCAUCCCGUUGCUACUCCCGUCCCAUCCCGUUGCGUCUCACCAGCAGGGCUGACCAGAGGGCUGAGCCUUCUGCUGCAUUAUUGAAGAUGAGUGUUGGGUUCACUGAGGCAUGUCUGCAUCCUGAAUCAUUUACAUCCUGCUAAUGUCAGCUCUCAUCUACCACCAACGCCUUACUGCCUGCCUUCUACAGGUUGGGACCCCAUUCCUUUUCCCAUGGCCUCUACAGCCUUCUCUGCUCUGUGGAUCUGGCUGAUGUUAUGGGAGGGCAUGGUUUUUUACUAAAUAUAUUUUUGUCCUGAAUACAAAACGCUAUGCCCCACCCGCACGCCUGUUGUUGUACCAAAAAAACAUCUGCACUAACAUUACAGCACAGCUGGCUGUAAAUAUUGUAAGAUACGGUAGAUCAUUAUAGGAUCCAAUUAAUAUCCGUGUUGAGUAUCAGCUUUUAUGAGCUUUCCUUUGCCAGAUGUGUACAUGUUCAUAUCUAGCAAUAAUACAAUGUGUUUUUAAAUGCAUCUUUUGAAUACUCUGUAGUGUCACUGCUCUAGCUACAUUAAACAACAUGCAAAUAAGCCAAAUCUCAAGUGAAAACCAAAAUUCUCUCUUCAAAGACAUCGGCUAAGAAUGUUUUUCCCCCUCCACUUCACCCCGUUGUUUACGCAGUCUGACCAGCGAAGUCCAGCGAACAGGAGACCUUCAACUUUCAUAGCACCACAAUAUUUACAAUUGGAAGAUGACGGCCUUAACAGAAUCUAGCCUGGCAUUACAAUGUUAAAUCAGUCAGUCAUGAAAUGAAAAACAGGAGGAGAGCACACAUAGAGGAGAGGAAGCCACAUCUCAUAUGCGGGGGAUGGAAAGUCCAACCCACUUCCUCUAAAUGAGGAUGACUAUGUUAAAUAACGACCUCUUAUUGUUAAAACCAAGGUUGUUACAGGGCACAAGAGGUACAAAGGAUCCUACCUCCACCACUCUGCAAACUGGAAUCAGUGUGUGCUCGCGCGCGCACGCCAAGAACUGUUGAAAGAUAUUAAGUCCCUUGAGAGAUGAGCACAGACUUCUUUAUUAGGUCAUAUCAACCUCCACUCAUCUCUGAGCUAGAAAAACAGCACUACUGACCAUUGGACUUCUAGGCUCAAUCCCGAUAACCUCCUUUAGCCCUUCCCCUCCACUUUGCGUGAUCCAGCAUCAAGUCGGAGUGGUGUUGAAAAUUAAACAGAGAGGUAGUGCCUUUUUAGGCCUCUAGUUGGCCCUCCAUGUGAAUCGACAUAGACUUCCUAUCAAGUGGUUAUCAAAACUCCCAUAAAGCUCUAUGACCCAAGGAUCUAAUGUUGCUUCAGGAAGAUGGUUGACAAAAAUACUUGAAUGAAAGCAAAUGUAAGUAAUUAUAACUUAAUAACAAAGUGAAGAUGGCGGCCAUCUAGUACAGCGCCAUUUGCUAGCUCCGACCAAACUUUGCUUUUGUUGUUUAUUUUUACCUAAUUUAAAAAAAAUAUAUCCACUGUCAUUUCUUACAACCGAGAUUAAUUUAUAUUCUAACAUCAGAUUGGCAGUUACCUCAAUUCUGGUUUUAACUUCAACUCAUCUGUCCUGGGCUCUGUCUGUAAUUCCAACUAAAUUUUCAGGCUACCCAAGAGGAAAUACCGACGUUACAGAGGCAAGAGAGGGGGGAUCCUGGUGAGAUUAAGGCAAAGGAAGAACCGGCAACCUCUUCCCUCCAUUCUAUUGGCCAAGGUACAGUCAGUUGAUAAUAAGAUGGAUGACCUCAGAUCUGACAUGACUCUCGAAACUGCAAUAUUCUCAGCUUUUCUGAAACAUGCCUCAGACAAUAUAUGGGACUUAUUUGACUUUUUCCUGUCCUCUGCCGUAGCCUCAGGGUUGUCUGCGGUACCCCUAUUCUUUAGCUAUCCAACUCUAUGGAUUCUUCAUUCACCGUACCGACAGGACAGUGGAGUUGGGGAAAUCGAGGGGGGAGGGGUUUGCUUCGUCAACAACUGGUGUGCUGACUCGAGCGAGGUUGAAGUGUUGACUAACUGUUCACCCGUACCUUAUGGUCAAAUGCCAACCCUUUUACCUCCCGAGGGAGUUUUCAGCUGUUAUUGUGACUGUUGUAUACAUUCCACCUCAGGACAAGAAACAUAACAAGCUGGCAUUAAACGAAAUGUACGAGGCUAUAACCAAGCAGAAAAACGUACAUCCGGUGGCUGCUUUUCUGGUUGCCGGCGAUUUUAAUUCUGCUUCAUUGAAAGGUGUGAUGCCCAACUUCCAUCAACACGUCUCCCUCGCCACUAGGGGGCGAUAAAGUCCUAGACUACCGUUAAUCUACCCUCAAGCAAGCAUACAAGGCUCUCCCUGGUCCGCCAUUCGGCAAAUCAGAUCAGGUACUCCUGUUUACAAGCACACACUCAAACAGGAAUUACCCCUGACUCGCUUCGUUGAGAAAUGGUCUCCAGAAUCAGAGAUUAUGCUACAGGGCUGCUUUGCUAGCGCUAAUUGGAAUGUUUCGAGAUUCCACCAAUAACACCUCCGUCACUGGCUUCAUUAGGAAAUGCGAUGCCUCGACUAGACAAACUCAAUGCAAUUUAUGCACGCUUUGUCAUUAACAUAGUGUGAGGGCUGCCACCAACCCAGAAGAUUUGGGUCCGAGCGAGAUCACCCAUUGGUUAUGGCACACAACUCCAUCAUCUCAGACCCACUUCAAUUUGCAUACCAACAGAUCCAUAGACGACGCAAUCUCAAUUGCACUCCACACUGCCCUCACCCACCUAGAUAAGAGGGUGUGUGCUUAGUCGCCUCUUGUGCUCCCUGUUCACCCAUGACUGCGUGGCAACGCACAACUCCAACACCAUCAUCAAGUUUGCUGACGACAAGACGCUGGUAGGCCUGAUCUCCCUGUAGGCUGUGUCAUUGUCGCUGGUGGAGGUCAGAGACCUGGUAGUGUGGGGCUGGAACAACCUCCCUCAACGUUAGUAAGACCGAGGAUCGUGAACUACAGGAAACUGAGGGGCGAGCACACCCCCAUCCACAUUGACAGGGUGGCAGUAGAGCGGGUUGAGAGCUUCAAGUUCCUCAGUGUCCAAAUCACUAAGAACUUAAAAUGGUCCACAUGCACAGUCAUGAAGAAGGCGCGACAGCACCUCUUCCCACUCAGGAGGUUGAGAACGUUUGGCAUGGGCAUAUCAUGCCAAAUAGAGUCCCCCUCUACAUCACAAUGGGAUUUGAUGAGUUCUAGCUUCUGUUGCUAGGACUGUUGCUAGAACUUGCAACAUUCUGACUGGAUUACGUAAUGAACCAAAGCGUCAGUUGCAAUGCAGGUUGCUUGGCUCUAUUUUACCUUGUAGCAGUCACAAAGGGAGGAGGAUGCGGGCAGUUCUAGUUCUAUUUCACCGCAAUAACGCCCGCUCAGUCCGCGCAAAUAAAUUACCUCUGUAUUUCUCUCCAAGGAUGGUGUUUUUGAUGGUACACAUUGUUAAAUAGGAAUAAAUAAUUUAAGCUGUUUUUAGAGUGACGUUGCUAGCUACUGUCCUUACAUAGACAGAGCCUGGACUCCAACCAGGAUCUCUAGUGGCACAGCUAGCACUGCAAUGCAGUGCCUUAGACCACUGCGUCACUUGGGAGUACUAUGAAGACACCACUGAUUUGGACAAGAGGAGCAACAUUCAGAGAAAUUCACAAUUCAGGGUAACGUUAAGCAAUUAGAUAACUGGACGGAUUUAGCUAUGUACAACCAUUUGUUCACAACCAUUUUCCGUCUAACGUUAGCUAGUUGAUAGCUAUACAGUAUGUGGAAUGGAGUAAAUGGAAUGGUAUCAAACACGUGGUGUCCAUGUGGUUGAUACCAUUCAAUUGACUCCAUUCCAGCCAUCAUUAUGAGCCAUCCUCCCAUCAGCAGCCUCCAACGAUAGCUAUUUGUCUGUCAUAUUGAGGUGUCUAGCUAAAAGUUAAACCUGAUCAGAUCGAAUCCCCGAGCUGACAAGGUACAAAUGUUGUUCUGCCCCUGAACAAGGCAGUUAAACCCACUGGUCUUAGGCCGUCAUUGAAAAUAAGAAUUUGUUCUUAACUGACUUGCCUAGUUAAAUAAAGGUAAAAUAAAAUAAGAAAUGGAUAGGUGUAAACAAUUAUGGUAAUUCCAAAGGCCCUGAACUAGGUGAUGUGGACUGGAGUAUUUCAACAACUCUUCAACUUGUUAGACAAUCAUAUCUACAUACGCGGAAAGGAUGGCCAGCCACACAGGAGGGUGGUUUUUACUAAGGUCAUCUUGAGUGACCGAAGUCAUGAACGCUGGAAUAAGGUAUAACAGACUUUCGGAUCACUGAAACCCCACCUGAUCUGGUGGAAGUUGUCGAACCAGAUCAGAACGCCUUCGAGUACUACCUUCAGGCACAGACUGAGUAGGAUGUGAAGGUUUUUGACCAGGCAAAAAUUAUUAUCCGCUGAUCAUUUAUUUUCUGUCCCUGUAAGAAAUGUAUUUGUAAUAUGAACCAUAAUUGCAUGUAUUCCUGUCAUCAAUCAAGGUAGGACUGAACAUGGACAAGGUGCAGGAGAAACAGAAGGAGAGCUACCGGAGCAGAAUCAAGAAGGGGAGGAAGUGCUAUGACACCGGGGCAUAUUACUUGGCUUGGAAGAAGGACGAAAGUUAGACGAGACCUGGGAAACCUCACUGCUCUUUCGUUCCUUGCUGGGGUCACCAUCUGUUAAAGUGAAUAUAAAAAAUCUCAGGGUUACCUCUGUGGAAGCAGCUGGACGGUCUACCACUGGAAGCACUGGCCCCCGACACUUCAGUGAAGCCCAAUAUACAAAGACCAUCGAAUGUCCCGAGCCCCCCUGGAGGUAUACCGUCCACCAGAAGCAGUGAGUUCGGAUCAGUCUGAUUCUCUGUGCUCUGAGUC